rnacentral:rRNA from 1 species
UACGUAGGGGGCAAGCGUUGUCCGGAUUUAUUGGGCGUAAAGCGCUCGCAGGUGGUUCAUUGCGUCGUGCGUGAAAGACCCCGGCUCAACUGGGGAGGGUCGUGCGAAACGGGUGAACUAGAGGCCAGUAGGGGGAUGCGGAAUUCCGGGUGUAGUGGUGGAAUGCGUAGAGAUCCGGAGGAACACCAGCGGCGAAGGCGGCAUCCUGGACUGGUCCUGACACUCAGGAGCGAAAGCCAGGGGAGCAAACGGG